AGAGCUCCGGGGUUGUGAGGGGCUGGAGGCGGCGUGAGGUUGUGGAGAGAGCCCCGGGGUUGUGAGGGGCUGGAGGCGGCGUGAGAGCCCAUGCCCGGGGUUCAGGUGGUGGUGGUGAUUAUACUGGACCCCUAGCACUUCUUCUACGGCUGGAAUGAAUCUAACAGCUCCUCUGCAGGUGAUGCUCAGACUUUCACCAUUGCAUUUUUGCCGGGUUUUGAUGGAAAGAACAACAGCAAGAAGUUAAAUUAAACCCUUCCUUUUCUGGUUUGCAAUGGACAUUAGAACCUGUUUGCUUACAAGAGUAUUUGGUGUGUGUGGGGCGUAGUGGUAAAAGGAGUUCUUAUGUGUGUGGCCAUUCAAACCACAGUAAUGCUACUUCCUGUAAACACUGACUGCUCAAGUGUGGAAAGAAUGGAGAAGGAAAAAUGACAACGCAUUUUGUUCCCUCAUCUUGUGAAACAAUUUCACGGAAGACAGGAAUUGGGUAGAAAGCCAAGAACUGUCCUGGGCACUUUGGGGCAGGAGUGGGUUUAGUAAGAGGAGUGGAGUUUGGAGAAGAGCUUUCUUAAAGGUCACUCUUGGCUCUUACCUGCAUGAAGUCACAUUGUGUAGUUACUAGAAGGUGCUCAUGUAGCAUGACUAGAAAAGUACAGAGCCAUUGUAGGACUGUGGCUGCUGAACCCAAGUUUGGCUAUUAAAAACACUUCUAAAAGUGUUGGUUAGCAUUUAGAUAUUGCAGAUUAAUCUUAGACAACUCCUCUGUCAGAGAGAGUUGUCUGGGGGACAGCCAGCAGGGUAUUUGCCUGACCCUCUUAUUCAUCAUUGACUCACUUUGAGGAUGCUGCAUGCAGUUUGUAAACUUUGGGAUCUGAGUAAGCUGGUGAGGAGGAGAGCCUCAUAGUCAAAUGUCAGAUUUCAUGUCAGCUCCAGUGUGUUACAAAGUUCUGAGGCAGGAAAUGGGACAGAGUUCUGCCCUCAUGUAUUACUUACAAAGCCCUAAAAAAGUUAGCUGGGGCUUUACAAGGCAGGGUAUGGGAUUUGGGUUUUAGUAGGGUUUUUGUAUAGGUGUGUUUUAAGUACAGUUCAUUUCUUGCUUAUUAAAAAUUUAAGACAAUAUUAUUUAAGAAGUAUCAAUGUUCAGAUCUUAACUCAGUAUUUGUUAAUGUAAUGCAUCAUUAAUGUAAUGCAUUGUAAUGCCUUGUUAAACCAGAUAUGUGCUAGUUUUAAUUUGUUCUGUAGAUAAAUGAUUGAAGUAGGGCAGUGGUAUUUGACCUCAGCCUCUGUAGCAGUUAUGAAAGCAGGAGUUCUGGUCAUUUGGUAGCACCAGGAUAGUGCUUUGAAUUAUUAGUUCAGUUGCUCAUGAAGAAUUUUUUUUUGUUUUUUUUCCCCCACAACUGGGUUUUGGUUAGUGUUACAUGCCUCAAGUAUUUAGCAAAAUAAUAGUUCAUUAGUACUUCAAGUUUAAAGAUAUCUGAUCUGUAUUUCAGAUGACUGCUGUCCAUGUUCCCUGGAACAUCAGCAUUUGACUCUCUACCCUGAAGCUUUGUAUCACAUCAGUUUCUCUAAAAAUUGAGGGAGCAUCAUGGCAUUCUAACUUGUGGAUAGCAAAUGUCCUUAGAGCACAGUUAAUGUGUCUGGGCCUAAGGGAUCACUCCUGUGCUCCUGGGGUUAAUUGCAGAUUUAGCAACAGAAAUCAAGUCACAUAAGCUUGAUUUAUAGUAUGUUGAGAGUAUUUUUCUUUCUCCUAUUUUUCCCUUAACACUUGUCCGUGAUACUUAGCUCAGAUGGAGCAUGUGUUUUGUUGUAAGCGGCACCAGAGAAAGGUGUUGUGCAAAUGAACACAAAUCUGCUGCAAGAGGCUGCAGAGCUUGUGUGCCUGGACACCUGCCACAGCAGGUUAGAUCCCUCAGAAAUCUGAUAAUCUUUCUUCAUCCUGGUAAUCUGAACAGCAGCAUCUUGCCACGUUGUAGGGCUGAGGGGUGAAGUACACUAGUCUGCGUGGUUGCUGGUAUUCAGAGACUUGUGGGUUUGUAUUCAGAAGUGCAUGUGAAGCCUGAAGAGCAUCUGCUUUUUACACAAACAUCAUUCAAGGCUGGCAGCUGAGACGGCGACCUUGGCUACGAUAUGGAGAUCUCCAAAUGGAGCAGAACCCUCGGCUUUCCUGUCAGAUUCCCCUCCAAUCUGUGCUGUUAAUCAAACCCUACAGUAACACUUCUUUUGAAGCAUGAUUUUGGUGAAUUUAUUUAACCUUGUACACGACAGGAAUUGCGCAGAGCAACGUAACAACGUUAACUUGACCCUGAUCUUGGUGUUCUGCUGAAGGAACUGUUCUUGUCAGUGCACAGAGCUGGCUGGGAGCUCUGGGAGCAACAGAGCAGGGAAAAGUCAGGAAAAGAGGUGCCUUGUCAACUGCUCUGCCAGUGCUCUCUCUUUGGAAAUACUGCCAGAGCUUACAUGUUGAAGGUGAAGUAAAUACUAAUAAAGCUGCCGUUAAUUAAAA